AUGGAUCUCAUAGCUGGAGUGAGGAAGACAGGAAAAAAAUUUUUUCUUUAUCUGGCUUUGGAGGAUGGGGAAGUAGACGCUGGCCAGGAAGGCAUGAGGAUUAGAGGUGGCUAUUUUACCACUAGAACCACCUGUGAAAUCCUGCCCUGGAGGAUGAGACUUUGGGGCAAAAGCUGCCCCACACCUGUUCUACUCCGGAAAGGUGUGAGCAGACCUGCCACCCAGCACCUGCAGCCGGCUCUCCAGGACCCCGGCCACAAACGACAGGUCAGCACUUCCCUUUCCAUAGCUAUUUGACACGUGCAUGUGGGGGACAUUCCAGACCCACUGGAUCUCUUCCCCUUCUGGCCACACAAACUGCUUGAGACAUCAAUCUUGUCUUUGAAAAUAUCUAUCAUAAAGGUAAGAGCUUUUGUGAUCAUUUUUAUAUCUAUGUAGCUAAUGGGAGUUCUGAAAAUUUGAAACAAAUCAUUAAGUAUCAGUGAAAGAAACAAUGAAAUCAUUUCUGGCAUCUCAUCUCAUAAUCAUUACCACCAGCCUGUAUAUGAAAUCUCACUGUAUCCUUCCAAUGACACCAUGUAUAGUUAUUACUAUCCAUUGCUUACACAUCGAGGACUUGAGGACCAACUCACCCAGGAUCACAGGUCCUGGCAGCCAAGACUGCAAAUUCCAUCUUUUUCUAUGGAAUGAAUACAUUUGUUAGGUGGUGGUUUAGUUGCUAAGUUGUGUCCAACUUUUGCGACCCCAUGGACUGUAGCCUCCUCUGUCCAUGGGAUUCUCCAAGCAAGAAUACUGGAGUGGGUUGCCAUUUCUUCCUCCAGGGAUCUUCUUGACCCAGGAAUUGAACCUGGGUCUUCUGCAUUUGUUUAGUACACGUGAAAUAAAAACUCCUUCACUGAUCAUGUUGGGAGGUGGUGAUAACACAUCAGGCGACAGGAAUGACAGCAUUUUAAGUGCCUGGGAAACGGGGCUGGGAGCGGGUCGGGGCUUAUCAUAUGAGUCUCUUUGGAACAAUCUCUUAAUAAAGGGAAUUUGAUGGCAAAAAGGACAUUAGAUGUUACCCAAACUUACCGACCAAGCAAUGCUCCUGCCUCAUCCUGAAUAACCACCAUGAAUACAUGACCUUACAAGACAACUUGAUCACAUUAUGUCUGGCCUGAGAAGUGGGCAGUUCUUUCCUCUAUAUGCUUGGAUGAGAUGCAGUUAAUCUCUUUCACAUGCCAGAGUCACAGACAUUCUUGUUCAGUCCUGGACUGUGACCAACAUAUUUUCUAUUUUGGUCCAUUUUAUAUCAAUCCCACAUUAAGGCAGGCAGCAUCAACUGUCUCACUGAAACACCUCUGGACAAUUUCCAGUUCCAAAAGAUAUCAGUCCUUUGAAUACAUUUGUUCAUCCAGGUGCGUACAAGCCUAUCUUUUCACUUACCAUUGAACAAGCGGUAGUCAGCGUCAGGUGUGUGUUAAGUGUUGGCUGUCGUGACAGUGAAUGAGAUAGUUAUCUGAAGCAGUGAACAGAAACAUUAAGGGUCCUUGUUGGUGGCUUGACACCCUAACAGUCAGACAAAUCCAACUCUCCCAGGUCAGUAAUCCUGUCAAAUAAAGAAAAGUAUGCAUUUAACAUAACUCAAUAUUAAUGGUCGUACGAAACCCACAAAAGCAAGUGAUGAUUCCUGCUUUAUCUUACUGUGCUUACAAGCUAUCAUCUCCAAAAGUCCACCCUGGAAUAUGUCCUGAGACCGCUGUUCCCAUUGAUCUGUUGUUUAAAUAGGUCAUGUCACUUUGCUUUAUCUUGUUGUAGCUGUGUUUGGCGUAGGUGGCAAUGGAUUUAUCUGCCUAAUUUGUACUCACACAUAUCACUUUCUUCAAGCCUCCGUGUAAACUCCUCAGUGGUAAUGAAAGUGACCAUACUGGGCAGGCUGGGAAAUACGUCUUAGCAAAAUAAAUUCCGGGCCCAAGGGGCAAGGGAAGGUGAGCGGUUUAUGGGCCAGAAGUGGUCACAGGGGAGUGAGACUUAUAGACAAAGGAAGCAGAAAGUGCAGAGGCUCCGCAGAAGACGAGAUCACGGCGUCACGCGGAAUAACGUCCCGUACAAGCCCCAUGAGAGGAAAGUUGCCAUGUGUAAGACCAACACGCAAAAAAACUAGAUUCACCAUGCACAAUUAACUACAAGGUGUAUUUUAAAAAAGAAGAUUUCAUUUAUAGUAACAAGAGACCAUAUGAAAUCUGGUUUUAAGAAAGAAUCCAACAGAAGAGACACAAAACCAUUAUGGAGAAAAUUUUUAAACUUUUUUGAAAGACACAUAAGAAGACUUGAAAAACCAGAUUGGACAUCGAAGUUAUGGUUGUAAACACUUAGUACUGUAUAGAGGUCAAUUUCUACUCAAAUAAAUCACAUAUGCAAUGAAAUUCCCAUCACAGUUCCAAACAGCAUUUUCAUGGGACUUCCUGGAGCGAUCUUAUACAGGCCACUUGGAAGAGUCAAGGUGCAAAAAAGCCAAAACAAUCUUGAAGUCAGAAUAAAAAGAAUGAGGAAAAAAUCUGACAUACAAUAUCAGCUAUGACUUUUUUAAAGCUCUAGUGAUUAAAGUAGUGUCGCAUUAACCUACGGACUAACUUGACAAAACAGAGAGCUCAGAAGCAGACCUUCACGUUUAUGGGAACUUGAGAUGUGACAGAGAAGGAGUUAUAAAUCAGCUGGGAAAGGGCAGGCUAUUCAGUCAAUGAUGCUGUGAUAACUGGUUACCAUACGGUAAAGGCAAAACUCUCCAACUUCAUAUCGAUUAAUUUCAGAUAAACUAAAGAUUCCACAGCUUCCUAGAACUGUGAUCUUCAGCAAGUUGCCUAGCCUCCUUGCCCACCAGGUUCCCCAUCUGUCAGAUGUGAACAACACUACCUAAGUCUUAAGGCUACACAUGGGCUUCCACAGUGGCUCAGGCAGCAAAGAAUCUCCCCGCAGUGCAGGAGACCUGGGCUCCAUCCCUGGGUUGGGAAGAUCCCUUGGAGAAGAGAAUGGCUACCCACUCCAGUAUUCUUGCCUGGAGAAUUCCAUGGACAGAGGAUCCUGGUGGACCCCAGUCGAUGGGGUCUCAAAGAGUCAGACACGACUGAGAAACUUACUCACUCUCCAUUUUCAUGAGGCUGUCUUGCAGAUUAAAUGAGGUGGUCCUUUGGAAAGCACUUAGAACAACACCGUGCACAACAAAGUGUUUAUUAAACAAAUUAAAAGACGAACCUAAAACUUCUGGAAGAAAAUACAUGCACAUAUCUCUAUGACAUCAGGGAAAGUGAGAAACUUUUCAGCUAGACGCAAAAAUCAGGAACCUAAUGGCAAAGAUAAAGGAGUGUGGCUACAUUAAGUUCACAAAUCUCCACAACCUAAGACAUCAUAACUAACAUUUAAAAUCAACCCAAGAUUGAGAAAAGAUGGAUGCAAGAGGCAUAACAAGCAAUAUACUAAGUAUAUAAAGGAAUUCCACAGUUAAAAAACAGGAUAAUCUAACAGAAAAUUGAACAAAGGCUAUGGAUAGACAGUUCAAAGGACAGGAACUUCAAAAGGUCGGUAUAGUAUGAAUUGGGUUCAACUGCGCUGGCAAUCAGGGAAACACAACUUGGAACAACUACACAAUUUCCCUUAACAUCCAUUAGCCAGCAAUCCUUGUGAGGAAAGUAGAGACAGAAGAAUGCUCAUAUCCUGCUGGUGGGGCUGUGAUUGAGACAACCAUGUCGAGAGAAAUGUGGCAAUAUCCGGUAAAUUUAAGGCUUAGCAGAGCACAGAACCCAGUAUAACUCCCCUACUAUCACAGAGGUUUCCCAUUUCUGUCUUUCCAGAUAUGCUUAAAUCAAAAGUCUUGGAGGCAUCCUGAUUUCUCUGUUUCUCUCAUUCCGCAUCUGGUCACUCAGAAAACCUACUGGCUUUAUGUCAAAAUAUAUCCAGAAUCCUACCACGUCUCAACCUUCAGGCCCGAGGCCCCACCUUCUGCUUCUGGGACCUAACAACCCCUGACUGGUCUAUGUGCCUCCACACUUUCUGCCUUUUAGUGAAUUCUCAGCAUAUUAGCCAGAGCAGUCCUAUAAGGACUCAAGUCAGAUCAAGUUACUCCCAUGUUGCCACGGUUCCUCAUUUUAUUCAGAAUAAAAUGGCAUCAAAAGCUCGCGAGUCUGCGACCCGUGAAGUCCCUGGUCUUUUAAUUAUAGAAGUAGAAAAGCAUAUUAAUUUUAAGCGACUCUAAAAACCCCAAAUAAUUUUUUCCCCAGACAUCAAUAAGGGAAGAAACAAAAGAUGCUAUUCCAGGGAAGCAAUAUCUGUAAACUAAACACCAAGACUCAGAUUUUAUAGAAAGAGGAUGAAGGGAUGGAUUCAAAUUUUAACUCAACAUUUCAGAAAUCAUUGGUUUAAAAGUUUAUAACUGGGGAAAAACAAAGCAAGAGUGCUUACAUAUUUAAAUUCCACUGUUUCCCAAUGGUAUCCUAGUCAUUUCCUCUGAAAAGAAAGAUGAGAACAGGAAAGCCACUAUCUACAGAAGGAAAUUGCAAGCAAUAAACAUUGCAGGCACUGUUUGAGGAUACCAGGUAGUCAGCCACCUAUAUAGUCAAAGCUAUGGUUUUUCCAGGUGUCAUAUACGGAUAUGAAAACUGGAUCAUAAAGCAGGCUGAACACCGAAAAAUUGGUGCUUUCUAAUUCUGGUGCUGGAGAAGACUUUUGAGAGUCCCUUGGACUGCAAAGAGAUCAAACUAGUCAAUCCUAAAGGAAAUCAACCCUGAUUCAUCGGAAGGACUGAUGCUGAAGCUGAAACUCCAAUAAUGAGACCACCUGAUGUGAAGAGCUGACUCAUUGGAAAAGCCCCUGAUGCUGGGAAAGAAAGAUUGAAGGCAGGAGGAAAAGGAGGUGGCAGAGGAUGAGAUGGUUAGAUGGCAUCACCGACUCAAUGGACAUGAAUUUGAGCAAACUCUGGGAGACAGUGAAGGACAGGGGAGCCUGGCGUGCUACAGUCCAUGGGGUUGCAAAGAGUCAAACAUGACCUAGCAAAUGAACAACAACAUACUAAUUAUAAAACUACAAUCUUCCGGGCACUGUAUUAGGGCUGGUAAAUAGAAAUGGCUCGGGG
rnacentral:lncRNA from 1 species